AGAAUGACCAUUUGGCCGACUUAAGCAUGUUUGUGCCUGAAUAUAUAGUUAAAUUUCACAUGAAAGGUAGUUCUAUACUGACCUUUUCUUCAGACAGGAUGGAAGAUCAAAUUAUUGAAUAAAGUAAUUUUCCAGAUCCGCAAACUCAAAACAAGGACGAUUACAGAGAACCCAAGCCUUAUUUCUGACAAUUUAUUUAUUGCAAUGGUAUCAACGCUCUUCUGUUUUCUACCACUCGGCAUAGUAGCACUUUACUACACAUGGAAGGUGCAGAAGUCGCUGUCAGAAAAUAAGAUCGACGAUGCCAGACUUUAUUCAUUAAAAGGAAGGAAAUUCGCCAACACCGGUAUCAUGAUGGGAAUAACGGGUCUCGCCCUCGUAGUUCUGAUUUUAUUAGUCAAAGACAACGUGCCGUAUUCAUCAUUGGAAUACGAUUAUUAUUUGCCAGAUGUAGCAGUGUGAUCUAAUAUUGAUUUAAAAAAAACGCAGUGAAUUCACAAAAAACCUUGCUGUAAUAUUAGUAUCAUACAAAAUCCUAUUUGAAAGCUUGCUCUAGUUAUUUCACCAGUAUUUGGUAUUACUUUCAUAACGUGUUCUGUUUAUGCCGUAAAUCAUUUUGCCAUUAGGGUAAGUUAAGAAAGUAUUUGAAAUUAAAUUUAUUGAAUCUGUAACAUGAUUGGUUGUAUUUCACAAUUGAUAAAAAUAGAAAUAUAUUAUGUUGAUUAUCUAUCGCAAAUUACCCCGCCUAGACUGCUGAAUUCUAUUGUGUGUCACUUUUGACUGCAGUGAAAAAGAGCGUUGUCGAAAUAUUUGUCAGGGUAUCAAUAAGAGUCAAGACGGUUAUGUUCUGAAAAUUUGGGUAACCCAAAUAGAAAUUUAUUUGUAACAAAACUUGUGAAUUUUAUUUCUUAUAUUUAUUUUAUAAAACAACUAUUUUUAAGCGCUUUAGCGACACAGUUUGUUUAAUGACUUUACUGCACAACUGUGGUUGAAAUUACGAAAGUAAUUAGAUAAUUUAUUGAUGAUUGAAUCUGAGCCGACGUGAAAUUUCUAUUUUGUUCAAUUGAAUGACCGGAAAUAAAUUUUGUUUG